UACGGGGGGGGCAAGCGUUGUUCGGAAUUACUGGGCGUAAAGGGCGUGUAGGCGGGAAGGAAAGUCAGAUGUGAAAUCCCUGGGCUCAACCCAGGAACUGCAUUUGAAACUCCCUUUCUUGAGUGUCGGAGAGGAAAGUGGAAUUCCUGGUGUAGAGGUGAAAUUCGUAGAUAUCAGGAGGAACACCGGUGGCGAAGGCGGCUUUCUGGACGACAACUGACGCUGAGACGCGAAAGCGUGGGGAACAAACAGG
rnacentral:rRNA from 1 species